GCUCUGAUGAUGUAAUGGUGAGCAUACUUGUCUGCCAGGCAUGGCGUGCGGGUUCGAAUCCCGUUCAGAGCU
rnacentral:tRNA from 2 species